GUGAAAAUGCGAGCAGGGCCUCGGAGACGAUGCUGGGUCAGAGUUGAAGAAAUAUCGAUGCUACCAUCGAAGCUGACAGUAAAAAGAACUACUAAAGGGUUUAACCAUGUACUACCUAAAAUCAUCUUACAUGCCAGCCAGGACACAUGCCACAUUUAAGGAAACACUGUGUUCGAGAACUGUCCCUUGAAAGGAUUGGACUGACUCCAUGUGGCUUCAGAAGAGAAGACUCAUCUCUUCAGAAGAGAAGACUCAUCAUAAGACUCACGUCCUUGUGGGACGUGACAAGGAGGCUGAUUUUGUCUCCUAAGAGAACUCAGUAGAGCUGGUAUUCUCCAGUGGGAAGGGUUGUGUUGGGGCAGGUCACCUGCAGGUGUGCCUUCAGGGUCAAAGCCUCACCCAUCUCUUCCAAGGUCCCUCUGAUGACUAAUGGUACUUAAUACCAUGAGGUGCCCUCACGUCCAUGAAUGAGAAGGAAGCAAAGGAAGCGAGUGAAUGAACGGAAGCAUGGGUGGGUGAGGGACGCGUGGAGGUAGAGAAGGGCUAUCUUUCAUGCAGGCACGGGUCCAAGGGAAGCACAGUGCUUCUGCUGUCUUGCCUAGGCCCCUCUCCGUACCAUGCACCUGGGCUUGCCUGGGCCUGAGGCUUCCCUGGCUCUCAUAGCCCCACAAGUGCAUCACCCCAAGGGGACCAGCUCUGCCUGUGUGUCCGCCAGAUUUUCUGUCUCAGCAUCUCAGCAUUUCCUGUGCUGAGACAGGCAAGUGGCACGCUCAAUCCAGGCUCCUUACAAACCGACGGGCAAGGGCAUGAAUGCCUACCAGCGGCAGCUCAGCCACACUUCCCGUAUGGUGCAGAGAUAUUAGCAUGGACAUCAGUUUUGGGGAACAAGAUCCAUACUAUGGCAGCCAGUGCAGCUGCUGGGCAACCAGAUCCAGAUCCUCCCUGCCCAAGUGGACUCAGGCUCCUGUCCCAAAGGGAAUACUCCCCUCACCCAGCCUCUGUUUCUGCUUUUUUUUUUUUUUUUUUUUUUUUUUUUUGCCCCCUUUAUGCUCUGGUUCCUUCCUGGUGGCUGGCCCAGAAGGCUUGGGAGGAUCAUCAAGCUUUGUGGUGUGCAGAACGCAUCUGAGCAGAAAACAUCAGGCUGGAGGGAACCUGGAAGCUUCCGGGUCCUACUGCCUUCUUGUCCAAAUCAGGACAGUAAGGCACAAAGAGGCAUCUACACUCCACUGCACUUCCGAAAGGACUGGACAGCGGUGGGAGGAGCACGUGCGGGGAAUCUCCUGCCCUGUGCUGGGGUGAACUGUGAGCAUGCCCUCGUUCCCCCAUCAGAUUACGGUGCUGGAGGUCAGGGCCUAGGCUGCCUCUGUGUAUCAGCCUGCCCAAACCAAGGGCAGAAUUUUGAUUGCGGAGCAAUAAGGCCUUGACCUGACCACCAUGAUUCCUGCGCACAUCGCUUUACCUUCUGGGCCUUGGUCUCUUCAGCUGUCAUACGGAAUGAUAAAAUCUACCUCACGGGGAUGUGGCGGAUUGAAAAUAAAAACAC